rnacentral:rRNA from 1 species
UUGAAGGUUGGGUAACACUAACUGGAGGACCGAACCGACUAAUGUUGAAAAAUUAGCGGAUGACUUGUGGCUGGGGGUGAAAGGCCAAUCAAACCGGGAGAUAGCUGGUUCUCCCCGAAAGCUAUUUAGGUAGCGCCUCGUGAAUUCAUCUCCGGGGGUAGAGCACUGUUUCGGCAAGGGGGUCAUCCCGACUUACCAACCCGAUGCAAACUGCGAAUACCGGAGAAUGUUAUCACGGGAGACACACGGCGGGUGCUAACGUCCGUCGUGAAGAGGGAAACAACCCAGACCGCCAGCUAAGGUCCCAAAGUCAUGGUUAAGUGGGAAACGAUGUGGGAAGGCCCAGACAGCCAGGAUGUUGGCUUAGAAGCAGCCAUCAUUUAAAGAAAGCGUAAUAGCUCACUGGUCGAGUCGGCCUGCGCGGAAGAUGUAACGGGGCUAAACCAUGCACCGAAGCUGCGGCAGCGACGCUGAUGCGUUGUUGGGUA